rnacentral:rRNA from 1 species
UACAGAGGAUGCAAGCGUUAUCCGGAAUGAUUGGGCGUAAAGCGUCUGUAGGUGGCUUUUUAAGUCCGCCGUCAAAUCCCAGGGCUCAACUCUGGACAGGCGGUGGAAACUGUCAGGCUCGAGUCCGGAAGAGGCGAGUGGAAUUCCUGGUGUAGCGGUGAAAUGCGCAGAUAUCAGGAGGAACACCAAUGGCGAAGGCAGCUCGCUGGGACGGUACUGACGCUGAGACGCGAAAGCGUGGGGAGCAAACAGG